GAUGAACGCUGGCGGCGUGCCUAAUACAUGCAAGUCGAGCGAACAGACGAGGAGCUUGCUCUCUGACGUUAGCGGCGGACGGGUGAGUAACACGUGGAUAACCUACCUAUAAGACUGGGAUAACUUCGGGAAACCGGAGCUAAUACCGGAUAAUAUAUUGAACCGCAUGGUUCAAUAGUGAAAGACGGUUUUGCUGUCACUUAUAGAUGGAUCCGCGCCGCAUUAGCUAGUUGGUAAGGUAACGGCUUACCAAGGCGACGAUGCGUAGCCGACCUGAGAGGGGGGGCGGCCAACCGGGAACUAACACCCGGACAGGACUCCAAGGGGAGGCAGCAGAGGGGAUUCUGCCGAAAUGGGCGAAGGCUUGACGGAGCAAGUCCGGGGGAGAGAAAAAGGUCUUCGGUCCGUAAACUUCUUUUAUUGGGAAAGAAAAAAUGUGUAGGUAACUACGCCGUUCUGGCCGGUCCGUAAUAAGAAAGCCACGGCAAACUACGUC
rnacentral:rRNA from 1 species